UGGGGAAUAUUUCACAAUGGGCGCAAGCCUGAUGCAGCCAUGCCGCGUGUGUGAAGAAGGCCUUCGGGUUGUAAAGCACUUUCAGCGAGGAGGAAGGGUGGUGUGUUAAUAGCACAUUGCAUUGACGUUACUCGCAGAAGAAGCACCGGCUAACUCCGUGCCAGCAGCCGCGGUAAUACGGAGGGUGCAAGCGUUAAUCGGAAUUACUGGGCGUAAAGCGCACGCAGGCGGUUUGUUAAGUCAGAUGUGAAAUCCCCGCGCUUAACGAGGGAACUGCAUUUGAAACUGGCAAGCUAGAGUCUUGUAGAGGGGGGUAGAAUUCCAGGUGUAGCGGUGAAAUGCGUAGAGAUCUGGAGGAAUACCGGUGGCGAAGGCGGCCCCCUGGACAAAGACUGACGCUCAGGUGCGAAAGCGUGGGGAGCAAACA
rnacentral:rRNA from 1 species